UACGAAGGGUGCAAACGUUAUUCGGAUUUAUUGGGCGCAAAGGGUACGCAGGCGGUGCGCUAAGUCAACUGUUAAAUCCCACGGCCUAACCGGGAAUCAGCGGUAGAUACUGGCGUGCUAGAGGAUGGAAGAGAGAAGUGGAAUUCUUGGAGUAGAGGUAAGAUUCGUAGAUCUCAAGAGGAACACCGAUGGCGAAGGCAGCUUCUUGGUCCAUAUCCGACGCUCAUGUACGAAAGCGUGGGGAGCAAACAGG
rnacentral:rRNA from 1 species